rnacentral:rRNA from 1 species
GACGAACGCUGGCGGCGUGCUUAACACAUGCAAGUCGAACGGAAAGGCCCUGCUUUUGUGGGGUGCUCGAGUGGCGAACGGGUGAGUAACACGUGAGUAACCUGCCCUUGACUUUGGGAUAACUUCAGGAAACUGGGGCUAAUACCGGAUAGGAGCUCCUGCUGCAUGGUGGGGGUUGGAAAGUUUCGGCGGUUGGGGAUGGACUCGCGGCUUAUCAGCUUGUUGGUGGGGUAGUGGCUUACCAAGGCUUUGACGGGUAGCCGGCCUGAGAGGGUGACCGGCCACAUUGGGACUGAGGUACGGCCCGGACUCCUACGGGAGGCAGCAGUGGGGAAUAGUGCACAAUGGGCGGAAGCCUGAUGCAGCAACGCCGCGUGCGGGAUGACGGCCUUCGGGUUGUAAACCGCUUUCGCCUGUGACGAAGCGUGAGUGACGGUAAUGGGUAAAGAAGCACCGGCUAACUACGUG